rnacentral:rRNA from 1 species
UUAAGCGACUAAGCGUACACGGUGGAUGCCCUGGCAGUCAGAGGCGAUGAAGGACGUGCUAAUCUGCGAUAAGCGUCGGUAAGGUGAUAUGAACCGUUAUAACCGGCGAUUUCCGAAUGGGGAAACCCAGUGUGUUUCGACACACUAUCAUUAACUGAAUCCAUAGGUUAAUGAGGCGAACCGGGGGAACUGAAACAUCUAAGUACCCCGAGGAAAAGAAAUCAACCGAGAUUCCCCCAGUAGCGGCGAGCGAACGGGGAGCAGCCCAGAGCCUGAAUCAGUGUGUGUGUUAGUGGAAGCGUCUGGAAAGGCGCGCGAUACAGGGUGACAGCCCCGUACACAAAAAUGCACAUGCUGUGAGCUCGAUGAGUAGGGCGGGACACGUGGUAUCCUGUCUGAAUAUGGGGGGACCAUCCUCCAAGGCUAAAUACUCCUGACUGACCGAUAGUGAACCAGUACCGUGAGGGAAAGGCGAAAAGAACCCCGGCGAGGGGAGUGAAAAAGAACCUGAAACCGUGUACGUACAAGCAGUGGGAGCACGCUUAGGCGUGUGACUGCGUACCUUUUGUAUAAUGGGUCAGCGACUUAUAUUCUGUAGCAAGGUUAACCGAAUAGGGGAGCCGAAGGGAAACCGAGUCUUAACUGGGCGUUAAGUUGCAGGGUAUAGACCCGAAACCCGGUGAUCUAGCCAUGGGCAGGUUGAAGGUUGGGUAACACUAACUGGAGGACCGAACCGACUAAUGUUGAAAAAUUAGCGGAUGACUUGUGGCUGGGGGUGAAAGGCCAAUCAAACCGGGAGAUAGCUGGUUCUCCCCGAAAGCUAUUUAGGUAGCGCCUCGUGAAUUCAUCUCCGGGGGUAGAGCACUGUUUCGGCAAGGGGGUCAUCCCGACUUACCAACCCGAUGCAAACUGCGAAUACCGGAGAAUGUUAUCACGGGAGACACACGGCGGGUGCUAACGUCCGUCGUGAAGAGGGAAACAACCCAGACCGCCAGCUAAGGUCCCAAAGUCAUGGUUAAGUGGGAAACGAUGUGGGAAGGCCCAGACAGCCAGGAUGUUGGCUUAGAAGCAGCCAUCAUUUAAAGAAAGCGUAAUAGCUCACUGGUCGAGUCGGCCUGCGCGGAAGAUGUAACGGGGCUAAACCAUGCACCGAAGCUGCGGCAGCGACGCUGAUGCGUUGUUGGGUAGGGGAGCGUUCUGUAAGCCUGCGAAGGUGUGCUGUGAGGCAUGCUGGAGGUAUCAGAAGUGCGAAUGCUGACAUAAGUAACGAUAAAGCGGGUGAAAAGCCCGCUCGCCGGAAGACCAAGGGUUCCUGUCCAACGUUAAUCGGGGCAGGGUGAGUCGACCCCUAAGGCGAGGCCGAAAGGCGUAGUCGAUGGGAAACAGGUUAAUAUUCCUGUACUUGGUGUUACUGCGAAGGGGGGACGGAGAAGGCUAUGUUGGCCGGGCGACGGUUGUCCCGGUUUAAGCGUGUAGGCUGGUUUUCCAGGCAAAUCCGGAAAAUCAAGGCUGAGGCGUGAUGACGAGGCACUACGGUGCUGAAGCAACAAAUGCCCUGCUUCCAGGAAAAGCCUCUAAGCAUCAGGUAACAUCAAAUCGUACCCCAAACCGACACAGGUGGUCAGGUAGAGAAUACCAAGGCGCUUGAGAGAACUCGGGUGAAGGAACUAGGCAAAAUGGUGCCGUAACUUCGGGAGAAGGCACGCUGAUAUGUAGGUGAAGUCCCUCGCGGAUGGAGCUGAAAUCAGUCGAAGAUACCAGCUGGCUGCAACUGUUUAUUAAAAACACAGCACUGUGCAAACACGAAAGUGGACGUAUACGGUGUGACGCCUGCCCGGUGCCGGAAGGUUAAUUGAUGGGGUUAGCCGCAAGGCGAAGCUCUUGAUCGAAGCCCCGGUAAACGGCGGCCGUAACUAUAACGGUCCUAAGGUAGCGAAAUUCCUUGUCGGGUAAGUUCCGACCUGCACGAAUGGCGUAAUGAUGGCCAGGCUGUCUCCACCCGAGACUCAGUGAAAUUGAACUCGCUGUGAAGAUGCAGUGUACCCGCGGCAAGACGGAAAGACCCCGUGAACCUUUACUAUAGCUUGACACUGAACAUUGAGCCUUGAUGUGUAGGAUAGGUGGGAGGCUUAGAAGUGUGGACGCCAGUCUGCAUGGAGCCGACCUUGAAAUACCACCCUUUAAUGUUUGAUGUUCUAACGUUGACCCGUAAUCCGGGUUGCGGACAGUGUCUGGUGGGUAGUUUGACUGGGGCGGUCUCCUCCUAAAGAGUAACGGAGGAGCACGAAGGUUGGCUAAUCCUGGUCGGACAUCAGGAGGUUAGUGCAAUGGCAUAAGCCAGCUUGACUGCGAGCGUGACGGCGCGAGCAGGUGCGAAAGCAGGUCAUAGUGAUCCGGUGGUUCUGAAUGGAAGGGCCAUCGCUCAACGGAUAAAAGGUACUCCGGGGAUAACAGGCUGAUACCGCCCAAGAGUUCAUAUCGACGGCGGUGUUUGGCACCUCGAUGUCGGCUCAUCACAUCCUGGGGCUGAAGUAGGUCCCAAGGGUAUGGCUGUUCGCCAUUUAAAGUGGUACGCGAGCUGGGUUUAGAACGUCGUGAGACAGUUCGGUCCCUAUCUGCCGUGGGCGCUGGAGAACUGAGGGGGGCUGCUCCUAGUACGAGAGGACCGGAGUGGACGCAUCACUGGUGUUCGGGUUGUCAUGCCAAUGGCACUGCCCGGUAGCUAAAUGCGGAAGAGAUAAGUGCUGAAAGCAUCUAAGCACGAAACUUGCCCCGAGAUGAGUUCUCCCUGACCC